rnacentral:rRNA from 1 species
ACCUGCCCACUGAAACAUUUUAAUGGCCGCAGUAAUUUGACUGUGCAAAGGUAGCAUAAUCAUUAGUUUUUUAAUUAAAAGCUUGUAUGAAGGGUUGGACGAGAUAAAAUCUGUCUUUAUUUAAAUAAUAUUAAAAUUUAAUUUUUAAGUUAAAAAGCUUAAAUUUUUAUAAAAGACGAGAAGACCCUAUAGAUCUUUAUAUUAUUAUUUAUAAUUUUAAUUAAGAAUAUUUAAUUUUUUAUAAGUAGUUUUAUUUUAUUGGGGUAAUAAAAAGAUUAAAAUAAUUCUUUUUGAUAUUUUCCAUUGAUUAAUGAAUUUAUGAUCCAAUAAUUUUGAUUAUAAGAUUAAGUUACCUUAGGGAUAACAGCGUAAUUUUUUUAGAGAGUUCAUAUCGAUAAAAAAGUUUGCGACCUCGAUGUUGGAUUAAAAAUUGUUUUAGGCGUAGAAGUUUAAAAAUUUGGUCUGUUCGACCAUUAAAUUUUU